rnacentral:tRNA from 1 species
GGAGAGGUGGCCGAGUGGUUGAAGGCGCACGCCUGGAAAGUGUGUGACGCCAGAGAUGGUGUCCCAGGGUUCGAAUCCCUGCUUCUCCGCCA